rnacentral:lncRNA from 1 species
AGGUAGUGCUGGAGCUCCGGGGGAAUGUAGUUGCGGGUGAACGAGCGGAGGAGCAUCACGGUGGCCGCCACGGACGCCGCCGUGGAGACUACGUUUUGAAAUUUGGGAGUCGUCAUUGGGCCUUAAUUGGGCCGGUGUAAGAAUCGGUAAGUCAAGAGAGAAAAUAUUGAUGAAUAUGAAAUCUGAAACUAUGAACUGAUGCAAUUAAGAAUCAUUGAUUUGAUUUGGUGAGUUUACUUGUUUUGAGUAUUGUUUUCUCAUUGCAAUUUCUUCGUUGACCGUGACUUCUACUAACAAUAACAAAGUCUUCUUUCCUACAGUUGCAGGAAACUUCUUUUGAGCUUCACAGCAUUUCAAUUCUCAGUGGAAGGUAUGCUACACGCGGGAAAUUUACGAAAGUGGUGCAAUUUCUCACUCUUUUUAUGAAAAUGAGUAAUUAAAAAAAAAAAAAAAACUACAAAACAACCUUACAUAGGAUAAAAUCCUUGUUACAUUAUACGGUAUUGUUAACUGUGGUCAAACCAAGGAAAAAGUGGGGAAGGAACCAACAAAAUAUCUCACACUUGAGUUCUUAAGGAAUCAGUGAGCCCACAUAAAAUGAAAGUAAAGCAUCAUCAGAUAUUACACUGAUAUCAUAAAACUAUACAAUAAUUAGUAUACUAUUUUUUCUACUUUCUUUUCACUAUAUUAUUUCACACUUUUUAUCUCUCUUUUUUGCAUAUUAUAUUGCAUGUUUUCUUUUGCCUUUUAUUUUUGCAAUUUGUUGCAUAUUAUAUCUAGAAUCAAAAAAAUGCCAAACAUCAUGCAAAAGCAGAAUAUCUAUUGCUACUCCUAGUGACAUUACAUGGUGGUGACUGGCAUAUUGAGCUUCUGCAUAAUUAAAUAAUGCUUCUCCCAAUACCUAAUUAUAUUCUAUACUUAAACUCUUAUACCUUCUAUUUUUCUUUCCUUCAACCAUUUUUCUCAAUAGAUUUCAUUAAAAUAUAAUUUCGAUUAGUAACACAUUAGUUUUUAAUUUCUACAUUUUUUUUAAAGUUGUUUUUACGGGAUUGAGAUGUCCUAGACAUAACUGAAAACAUCUCAAACAUGUAAGGUAGUCAUUACUAUUAUGCAGUACAAAAUAAUUUUUUAGAAUUAUUAACUGAUCGUAUGUAUGAAUCCUAUUAAGUGAUAAUAUAUAGAAUUUAUAUUAAUAUACAAGUACAAAAAAAAAAAAAUUAUACUAGUACUAGUACGAGAUUCUAUUACGUGAUACAAAAUUAUAUAUUUAUAAAAAAAAAUUAUCUUCUAACCUAUCCUAGGGAUUUAUAUUAAAGUAUAUGUCUCACCUUUCAAAAAUAUUUACUUAUGUGAAACAUAACACGAUCAUAAUAGGCCAAACAAUAGGUAAAUAUAGGAUAAGCUAAUGAUUCAAAAAUAAUGACUAACAAAUAAUAUCAUUACAUAAAAAACAAAAUGUCAUAUGUAAUAAAUAAAAUAAAAUCAAUAUAUCUUUCGAAAGACAAUGUUGUUGUGUCCAUACUUAAAGACUAAUAUUUGUUGGUCAAAUUGGGGUAGACCACUUUGUUGGUACUCCCAAUCAACCCAAUUACCCUAUCCACAAGGUAAGACCACUCUUGACACUAUUCUAGUAUAGUCUACCUCAGUGUAAUUUCAUAAUAUAUCUUUAGCAUCUUUUCAUAGACUCUUCAUCACCUAAUACCACCACAGUCACCAAUGCAAUUUGAGAUUUCAUUGAAAUUGUUAUAGCAUAACUCACCACAUUAAUUAUAAAUUAUACAUUUUCAUGUACUACAACACCUAACUAUUACGUAAAUAAUUAUUUUUUAUUUAAAUUUGGGAGUAUUAAUAAGAAUUUUUUCUUAUAAAAUAUUAAUUAUAACAUAACUUCAUCUGUUUUAUAUUUUUAAUAAUUAUUUACAAUAUAUUUAAAAAAUAUAUAAGUUUUACAACAAUACAAAUUUUACAUUAAGAUAGAAGAUCCAUAUAUUUUAUAAGAUAUUAAAACUAAGUUUUUCAUGACUGAAAAUUUUAAACCCUAAACCCAUCUAAAUCAAUCUAAAUCAUAAACCUAGAUAUGAUACUCAAUCUGAUAUAUCGGAAAAAAAUGUUUUCACACGAACGUCUUUAUUAAAAAUAGUUUAUUCUUAAAAUUAAUCUUAUAAUUUGUGUCUUUUCUUCUGCUAUAAUAGUACAGUCCUUAAAACAAAAUACAUCAUAAAAAUAAAGAAGUUGGGAACUUUGGCGGCAUGAAACAAUAUCCUUAAAAGAAAAUAGAUAAAUAGAGAAAUAGACACAGAAAUAUAUUCUUAAAAACUUAAAUACAUUAGGAGUCGAAACCAGAGAAUAGCAUCUAUUGUCAUGUUUUGUCUCUCAGGGGAAGUCCCCUCAUCUCCACACUAUUCUCACUAUUCUCACUAUUCUCACAUCUCAAGAAUCAGAAUACCCCUUUCCCAUCAAAAUCACUUUUUUUUUCAUUUUCUCUUAAUAUUUUCUUGACCUACCAUACCAACAUGCAUCUAAACCAUUAAUUACACUUCACUUUUAUCUUCUUAUUUAAUACUUUAUUUACACACUUUUUCAAAUAUACAUAUAUUCUUUUACAGUAAAUAAUAAUCUUCUUCUCUUCGAAUCCUCUGUUCCCUAGCAAUGAAAGCCUCCACAGUGCGGCGAAACUCCUCGUUGCUCAUCCCAUCUUCAGGCCGCGCCACUUCUUCUACAGCAACACCCUCAAUCUUCUUCCUUCCCUUUUCACUCUCACUCUCACACCUACGCAUCACACCACGUCGUUUCUCCCUCUCACACCUUCUAUAACCCUUUUCCAAACUAAUUUUCGCUUCCCCUGUUUUCAUCCUCUGUUUCUUUCUGCUAUACUCUGCCACAACUGUUUCUUGGUUUUUCGUUGUGUUUUGAAUUAACUCUUGGUAGAGAUUAGGCUCCUGAACAACGUUGUUGCCCUGAGCGGAGAACUGGGCGAAGAGUGCGAUGAUUAUGAUGUUUCCAAUGAGGAAAACAAAGCGAGGACUGUUCAUGAAGAGUGACAAGUCUCUGAAGUACUCGCCAGAGUUUCUCACUGCAACUGG